rnacentral:rRNA from 1 species
CCUGCGGGUGGCAGCAGUGAGGAAUAUUGGUCAAUGGGCGCGAGCCUGAACCAGCCAAGUAGCGUGAAGGAUGACUGCCCUACGGGUUGUAAACUUCUUUUAUAAAGGAAUAAAGUGAGGCACGUGUGCCUUUUUGUAUGUACUUUAUGAAUAAGGAUCGGCUAACUCCGUGCCAGCAGCCGCGGUAAUACGGAGGAUCCGAGCGUUAUCCGGAUUUAUUGGGUUUAAAGGGAGCGUAGAUGGGUUGUUAAGUGAGUUGUGAAAGUUUGCGGCUCAACCGUAAAAUUGCAGUUGAUACUGGCAGUGUUGAGUACAGUGGAGGUAGGCGGAAUACGUGGUGUAGCGGUGGUGUAAUGAG